GGAUUUGAUGAUAACUAUAUAGGAAGUGCCGUCUUAUGCGAAACUGACGAAGAUUCCUAACUGUUA
ensembl:snoRNA small nucleolar RNA SNORD49